UAGGGAAUCUUCGGCAAUGGGGGGAACCCUGACCGAGCAACGCCGCGUGAGUGAAGAAGGUUUUCGGAUCGUAAAGCUCUGUUGUUAAGGAAGAACGAGUGUGAGAAUGGAAAGUUCAUACUGUGACGGUACUUAACCAGAAAGGGACGGCUAACUACGUGCCAGCAGCCGCGGUAAUACGUAGGUCCCGAGCGUUGUCCGGAUUUAUUGGGCGUAAAGCGAGCGCAGGCGGUUAGAUAAGUCUGAAGUUAAAGGCAGUGGCUCAACCAUUGUAGGCUUUGGAAACUGUUUAACUUGAGUGCAGAAGGGGAGAGUGGAAUUCCAUGUGUAGCGGUGAAAUGCGUAGAUAUAUGGAGGAACACCGGUGGCGAAGGCGACUUUCUGGCCAUAAUCUGACGCUGAGGUACGAAAGCGUGGGUAGCAAACAGG
rnacentral:rRNA from 1 species